rnacentral:tRNA from 1 species
GCGGAAGUGGCGGAACUGGCAGACGAAGGCGUGUGGGUUCGAAUCCCACCUUCCGCA